rnacentral:rRNA from 1 species
GAUGUCCUACGGGGGGCAGCAGUGGGGAAUAUUGCGCAAUGGGCGAAAGCCUGACGCAGCGACGCCGCGUGAGGGAUGAAGGUCUUCGGAUCGUAAACCUCUGUCAGCAGGGAAGAACGGUCACUGUGCUAAUCAGCAGUGAAUUGACGGUACCUGCAAAGGAAGCACCGGCUAACUCCGUGCCAGCAGCCGCGGUAAUACGGAGGGUGCGAGCGUUAAUCGGAAUUACUGGGCGUAAAGCGCUCGUAGGCGGGAUGUUAAGUCAAGGGUGAAAUCCCCGCGCUCACCGUGGGAACUGCCGUUGG